UCCCCCCGAUCCCUCCACAAUAUAAAACCCAAAAAAAUCGCGGAUCAAAACCCCGAUUCCGCAGCGUACUCAACACCCCUCGGUAACAAUCUCGUUUUCUUAAAUCCAUCCAUUGGCAGAUCCAACUGACUUUUGGAUUGGUUUGAGUCAGGAGUAGCUGCGCUUUGACCGAUUUGAUUCGAGUUGUGGGCCUGCAAAUGGAGAAAAUAACUUGCAUUAACCCUUGUAUCUUUGGGAGCGACAAAGGAAGAAACAAACGGGGCAUGUGUGCUUUUGAAACCGCAACGAAAAUUCGCAAGAUUUGGGCAGAGAAGUCAGAAGAAUUUGAACAACAGUUUGGCCUCUCAGAUUUGAAGGAAGCUGCUCCUGCCGAACCCUUCGUAAGCCGAGCGUUUGGCUCCCACGGCGGGCCUGAUGAUUUCCAAGAGUUUAUUCCAACAGUGGUCUCUCUUGCUUUGUUUGACGGAGUUAAUCAGCUAUUUGAGUGUACAGGCAUAGCUGUACAAACCGGCGAGUCGACAAAUGGAUUAACAAGAUUCCUGACUUCCGAACGUCUGGUUACCAUCUUCAAUGACAAGAGAAAUAGAAAGGAUGAGCUCAGG